UUGUUCAUGUAGCCCAUUUACACCUUUGAGUUUCGUUUUAGUUUGUCCUAGUAUGCUUUCCAUACCUAUGUGACGUCAUAUUCUCUUAACGAGGAGGUACGUUGAUUCCGAGGUGCGGUGAAACUAUGGUGGAUACCAGUCGUGUGCGUUCAUGCAGAAACGACCACACAUACACCCACAUAUGUCCACUGACCCACCUGUAACUCCAACAACUAACCAUUAAA